UUGGUUUUCCGCCACCCUUCUCCCCGUCAGCGUCGACCUGCCUUGGUGAAGUGGAGUUGUUAGAUUUUCUGUUCUUGCUCGCCCCUGCUUAGCUUCUGCUCUUCUCUUGCUUCACCGUCGGCAUGUAUGGUCUAUGAGUGUGAUCUUCAAUUUCUUUUCCUUCCCAGCUGCUGCAAGUCACAAGGGUAUAUGUGGGUGUGACAAUUUGGUUCAAAAGGAGGGCAAGGGUGAGAAAAUCACACCAGAUCACCAAGCACUGACUCAAAUAGAAGCUGAUGUGCAUGCUAAUGAUUCAUAAAAGAUCUCUUCAAUAUCAAAUGAUUCGAAACAUCAUACAAUUACUUCAACUAUCCACACAAAUCCAAGUAGUAGUUCAAAAUUAAAGCCAUCAGACAUUUCCUCUAAAACAACAUCUGCACAGGUCCAAUCUUGUUCAAUCAAGCAGAGACUUGCACUGAAGAAGAUAAUCUCAUUAGAUUAUGUCGUUUAAUCAAGGAAGGAGCUCAUGACACGGGAGUUGAGGAAUCCUCAUUGAAGAUGAAUCUGAAUCAGAUAGCUAUCACAGAAGAACACAGUCAUCAUCUAGAGAAUGCACUCACCAUCCUCUCCACCUACUGUUCUGAUAACUGGCCUCUCUUUCAUGGCCUCAGACUCAAAAUCGACUCUCUGCGCCAAGAAAUCGAAAGUAUUCUGUCUUUCUUCAAGCAAGCUUCUGCUAGUACCCUUGAAGUAACCCUCAGCAAGCUUGAAGAAAAAUAUUCUCAACAAAUGGAGGCAGCCAUUUGUCUUGUCUCAGAAAUUUCCAACACUAAGAAGACUAUGACUGAGUUGAAGGAAGAGAUCUCUAAGUUGCAAGCUGAACUGAAAAGCAAAGAGACGGAAUUCAAAGACUAUGAGAUCAAACUCUGAUCUCUUGAACAUCAAAAGGAGGAACGAUUUCGGACGCCAUGGGGUUGAUGGAGGUGUACGAGGUUGUGAAAAAAGUGGAGAAUGAUUGGCCUUCCUGGGUGGCCAAUUUGAGGAAAACUGCACGAGCGUUUCCAAUCCUUCUUAAACGGAAGCUUCAGCGUUGUGGAGAUCACCAUUAUUUAAACGUAUUGCUGUUAUGCUGAUUUUCACUUUAUUUUGUUCAUAGUGACUACAGAUUGAGAUUGGGCAAAUGAUAGUUGAAGACUCAAUAAGCAGCCAUGUACAUAAAUGCUUUGAUUUUCUAUGGUCCUGGUCAUCUCCAUAUUUUGCAUUUUUUUAAUAAGAA